UGGGGAAUAUUGGGCAAUGGGCGCAAGCCUGACCCAGCAAUGCCGCGUGAAGGAAGAAGGCCCUCGGGUUGUAAACUUCUUUUAUCAGGGACGAAGGAUGUGACGGUACCUGAUGAAUAAGCUCCGGCUAACUACGUGCCAGCAGCCGCGGUAAUACGUAGGGAGCAAGCGUUAUCCGGAUUUACUGGGUGUAAGGGGCGCGUAGGCGGGAUGGCAAGUCAGAUGUGAAAUCCAAGGGCUCAACCCUUGAACUGCAUUUGAAACUGUCGUUCUUGGGUACUGGAGAGGUUGACGGAAUUCCUAGUGUAGCGGUGAAAUGCGUAGAUAUUAGGAGGAACACCAGUGGCGAAGGCGGUCAACUGGACAGCAACUGACGCUGAGGCGCGAAAGCGUGGGGAGCAAACAGGAUUAGAUACC
rnacentral:rRNA from 1 species